rnacentral:rRNA from 1 species
AAUAACGUCGAAGAAAUCGGCGCUAAUACCUCAUAAUGCAGCGGAUCCGCAUGGAUAUGGUUGUUAAAGGUUUACCGCCUUGGGAUAGGCUUGCGUCUGAUUAGCUAGUUGGUGUGGUAAUGGCACACCAAGGCUACGAUCAGUAACUGGUCUGAGAGGAUGAUCAGUCACACUGGAACUGAGACACGGUCCAGACUCCUACGGGAGGCAGCAGUGAGGAAUAUUGGGCAAUGCACGAAAGUGUGACCCAGCAACGCCGCGUGGAGGAUGAAGGUAUUCUAUAUCGUAAACUCCUGUGAGAGCAGACGAAAGACAGAUUAUUAAUUUGGAUGACUGUAUGCUCAGAGGAGCCCGGCUAACUACGUG